rnacentral:rRNA from 1 species
UACCCGCAGCACAAGUGGUGGUCAUUAUUAUUGGGCCUAAAGCGUCCGUAGCUGGCUUGUUAGAUGCCUGGGUAAAUCGAUGCGCUCAACGCAUCGAACUCCGGGUAGACCGGCAAGCUUGGGACCGGGAGAGGCGUGAGCUACUCGAGGGGUAGGGUAAAAUCCUGUAAUCCUUCGGGGAGGACCAGUGGCGAAGGCGUCACGCUAGAACGGCUCCGACAGUGAGGGACGAAGCCCUGGGCGCAACCGG